rnacentral:rRNA from 1 species
AGCGAACGCUGGCGGCAGGCUUAACACAUGCAAGUCGAACGCAUCCUUCGGGGUGAGUGGCAGACGGGUGAGUAACACGUGGGAACAUACCUUUUGGUUCGGAAUAACUCAUGGAAACGUGAGCUAAUACCGGAUACGCCCUUUUGGGGAAAGAUUUAUUGCCGAAAGAUUGGCCCGCGUCUUAUUAGCUAGUUGGUGAGGUAAUGGCUCACCAAGGCGACGAUCAGUAGCUGGUCUGAGAGGAUGAUCAGCCACACUGGGACUGAGACACGGCCCAGACUCCUACGGGAGGCAGCAGUGGGGAAUAUUGGACAAUGGGCGCAAGCCUGAUCCAGCCAUGCCGCGUGAGUGAUGAAGGCCUUAGGGUUGUAAAGCUCUUUUAUCCGGGAAGAUAAUGACUGUACCGGAGGAAUAAGCCCCGGCUAACUUCGUGCCAGCCGCCGCGGUAA